CUAACGAGGAUUCCCCGAGUAGCGGCGAGCGAAAAGGGAAGAGCCCAUCGCUGAAUCCCGCGGUCCCAGCGGACGCCGGGAAAUGUAGCGUUAGGGAGGAGAGUUAAAUUUAUACACGCGCGGUCUCAUAGUCACGGUCACCUGUCCAAGUUCAUCUUGAACGGGGCUCCGAUUGCCCACAGAGGGUGCCAGGCCCGUAGCGACGGUGGCCGGCCGCGACGGUCUCUCUCCCCAGAGUCGGGUUGCUUGAGAGUGCAGCCCUAAGCGGGUGGUAAACUCCAUCUAAGGCUAAAUACGACCACGAGACCGAUAGCGAACAAGUACC
rnacentral:rRNA from 1 species